GCUUUUUUUGGCAGACAGGCAGUGCACAAAUCCAGAUAUUUAACCAGCCAACUGACAGAAAAAAAAAGCACAAACUGAGACAAAAAAUACCUUUAAAGAAUAUUUUUAUUAAUUGGUCUAUUCUUCUAUUUCCCAUACGAGAACUUCCUUUAGUGACAUUAUUAUGCAAAGACUUUUGCAGGCAAUGAGAAAUUGUCUGCACAUUUCUCAGUAUUUCCUUUUGAGGUAGCAACCAUAUUACUGAGUACCAUCCUGCUUUUUUAUUUAGGCCCUAGAAAAAUAAUGGCUUUGUUUCAUUCUUGGCAGUUUUAAAGUUUAAAUAUUUGCAAGGCUGUGGCAGGAGGGGAACAUUUAGGUGAGCCCAUAUUGUGGAGGAAGAGUUCAAUGCAUCAAAGCAGUUGGGGCUAACACUGCUUCAAGACACUGUCAGCCUGAAAAAGCACUCUGGCCACAACCCAGGUGGGACUUGGAUGGCAACCUUCCCACAGCCAGAACCUGCUGCUUACCCUGAGCUCAGAGCUGGGACUCCACAGUGCAGUGGAAAAUCACCCCUGGAGACACAGAGGCACUGUGCUACAGAAACUGAACAGAUGUCCCCUGAAUCACCUUUCUGCUUCACAGGAACAUCUGGCUCAGCAUGGGCAAAUCGGAUCCCUCAGACUUAUCCAACUCCUCCAUGCAUGCCUGUACCAGUGUGUGUGCUCCACACUGGUAAUCACACCAGUGAUUACAUCUUCAAACAGGGAGCUGUGAUCAGACCUGCACUUGGGAUGCAGACAGCAGUGCUGGAGACUGCUUCACCAGGAUUCCAGGACUUGCCUUUCUGCGUUCUCUCCACACAGGCUCCUUACUCCCAAACCAGUACAAAAGUGUUUGUGGAACAGGAUCAAUAACAAGCAAAUCCGAGCAGAGGGGAUAGGAGGAAGACAAUGAAAGUGCAAGCUGUGCCUUUCCCCAUCUAUCCACCUAAUCAGCACAUCAGUGUCAAUCACCAGCCUGGCUGUGUUCAGCCUCACCGACUUCUCUCACUGUAGAGAAGCAGUGCAAUCAAAGUGUUGUUCUGGAACUAUCGCCUUUCUCCAUUCUCAUUUGUUCAAUUGGACCAAAACCGAAUAAAAGUUGAAUUAACCAAAAUAUCACAGAAGAAUCCUUCUCAUCCCUAGUUACCUGCAAAGUGCCUCAUUUCUUAAACAGGAUUAUGUGCUGCCUCGCUGCAGAUUACAUCACCUUCCUGAACUCCCACAGCAGCACCUCACCUCACCCAGUCACAAGGAGCUUUGGAAGAGAAGCAGCAGCAGCCACAUUAAUCUCAUUCCUCUGCUGGUGAGCAAAGCACAGGGACACAGGGCACAGUGGCACAUCGAGUGCUCUCUGAAGGGAGCCUGCCUGGCUGUGCACACACUGGAGCUGCUCCCUCGAACCAGGCAGCUGGGAAGGGACUGGAAUCUUCCCUGUCACCUCCUGAAAGCAACACGGGGUCCCAGUUUGAGGCCAGCUGUUUCUGGCACAUGAGCACAGGACCUCCUUCUUCCAGCCUCGCACACUGAGUGCCUGGGAUGGCAUCACAGGGGGAAAGCACACUCUGGAGGCCCACUG